AGCAAAUAUACUUCAAACAAAGUCCCUCAAUUACUUUGAAAACUGCUGCUAUAAACGAUGCGGGAAAAGAUUCGUUCAAGUUCAACGUCAUCAGUUUUGUGAUCGGUUUUCUGAUUCCUUUGAUCUUUCUGGUAAUCUCAGCCUGGAUCAUAUACAAAUUGAAGAUGAAAAUAAAGAAUCUGGAGGAAAAUGCCGAAGAAAAAGAACACAAUUACGAGACUAUACAAGAAAAAGCAACUCCUUCCAAUAAUCCGUUAUAUUCGACUGUGCUGCAAGAAACUACCGGAAACGAACAAGCUUAUUCUGCCACAACUAUCCAAACACAAGGGGAAUCAGCUUACGAAACUUAUAACGCCUAAUAAACUUCAAUAUAUAUUCGCAUAUUAUAAAAUGAAAAAAAUGUUGGUCUUCAUAAAACACUCGGUGAAUUUCUAACAAACAAUGUCUUAGCUGUUAGUUAGAAUAUUUUUAUCAGGAUGGUGUUAUUAAAAUUCUUACAGCAAGACUCAAUAAUCAAUCUCUAUCCAAUUUCUCUAAAGCUGAUAUAAAUAUACUAAUAUCA